CUCCUACGGGAGGGCAGCAGUGGGGAAUAUUGGACAAUGGGCGCAAGCCUGAUCCAGCAAUGCCGCGUGAGUGAAGAAGGUCUUCGGAUUGUAAAGCUCUUUCGACGGGGACGAUGAUGACGGUACCCGUAGAAGAAGCCCGGCUAACUUCGUGCCAGCCGCCGCGGUAAUAC
rnacentral:rRNA from 1 species